GGGAUGCAAUUGGUGCAGACGGUCCCUGCUUCGGGGGGGGAGGCCGGCGGAGGGUGCCCUGGGCAGGCUGCGCGGGGGCUGUCGCUGGCGGGGAGGCGAUGGGGGAAGCCCCCAGGAGCCCCGGUGGGAAAUGAGGCUGCGUGUCACCCCUGCACGCUCCCGCCAUCCCUCCUUCCCUCCCUCCUUCCCUCCCGGCUUCCCUCCUUCCCUCCCGCCCCGCGCCUGUCGUCUCUCGCUGUCGCCCUCCCCUCCCGGAGCGGGGUCGCUUCUCCCUGGCACUGCCAGGCUGGGAAAGGAGCCCAACUCAUCCCGGCCGGCCCCGGCUGAUGCCGGAGGGAGCAGCCUCACCCCGUCGCCGUGUGGCCGUGGAAGGAGGGCAGCGCUGCUCCAGACUCGGCACCUUGUUCCUGGGUGGUGAGGGGCUCCCGGCAAGGCAGAUCGGCUGCCCCUGCCAUGCCCCACUUCUUGGAUUGGUUUGUGCCAGUGUAUCUGAUGAUCUCUAUCCUCAUCCUGGUGGGCUUUGGAGCUUGCAUUUACUACUUUGAGCCAGGACUCCAGGAAGCCCAUAAGUGGCGAACUCAGAGGCCGAUCAUGGAACGAGACCUUCGAAAGACACUGAUGAUUCGGGACAACCUAGCUUUUGGGGUGCCCGAGGUCUGACACGCUGCCCGUCCAGUCCAGAAGAGCCUCUCCUGCGUGGACAGCAGUCUGCAAGCCUCGGUAGGGAUGACAGUUCGGCCUUGUGCAAGCUGGGCUGAUAGUAGCUUUGCUCUUUGCUGAUCUGGGUCUUGUACUCACCACUCACCUUUCUGCCCCUUUGCUUCUUAGGCGAGGCUUGUGUGGCACUGUAGACUCAGGGCUUCCCACACGCUCACAGCCCUUCACCCAACCAAUGAUUUCUGCUCCUUCCCAUGGCCAAGAUUGAUGAAUUACCCAAAUGAAAGGUCCCUUGUUAAUCACACCUUCUCCUUCCCUGCCAGCCCAGUGCAGUGCCCAGUGUGUAUGGGCAGGUUUGGGAGAGCUCUCAACCUGUGGCAGCAGGUUGUCUCAAGAGCCUCUCCUCACGUCUCCUCCCACCCCAACACCCACCCUUUGGAUGCAGUAGGAGCAGCAGUGAGUGCCCUGGGCAUGCAGGGUCGUGUGUACCCCACUCCUGAUGUCCCAGGGGAUGUCAGAUGGUGCCACCACCCCAUGUGCGUGUGUCUGCACAUCCCAUGCCGUCACAUGGACCUGCCAGUAUCAGAGCGACCCACAUCCCCAGGGUGCUGUCUCUGUGCUGUAGUCCCCAAGGGCUGCUUUGGGCAGCAGGAGACCAUAGAGCGAGCUGCCCAAAUCUGCCACAGGUCCUGGAUGGGCUCAUGUCAGUCAGUCUCUCCUGUGAACCUGUCAAUGGAAGCUUUCUCCUCUAUUCCCAAAGAAAGGAGGAGAGUGCUCAGGGCUGGUUUGUGUGAGUGACGCUCCAUUGGUAAUUCUCUGGGGAUGAAAGUUAAUUUUCAGCUCUGAGGGUUCUGGCUGAGGAAGGAAUGGGUCAGAACAUCCUGCAAAUAUCCUGGGUCUUUCUGGGACAUUUCAUCCCUCAUUCAGUCUUUACAUUCAGGCAAAAACCAGAGAUGUGAGUACCCUAACCGGGGAGUCUUGUUCAGCAGGGAGAUGCAGUGAGUGGGAUUACUCCUGUGACCAAAGUUAUGUUUGCCCUGGCAAGCAAAUGCUCAAAGCGCAGGUGCAGCCUGAAACAGGUAAAUCCCAUGUAUUUUUGUGCCUUGGUGACUUGGGCUGCGAAAGGGAAAUGCUGUGGAGCUGGGCUGCAUGGUCUGCAUUGCUCACAUCCCUGCCCUCUGGCACAACACAGCCAUCUCUUCAAGCGCCAGCUUGGAAACCUUCUUCCUCACCUUCACUCCCCUGUAGCUGGGGCUGCACUGUGAAUGGACCUCAGCUGAGCCAUGGUGUAGCAAUAAAACCCUCUGUACUGGAGCUGAGGGGCUUGGAGCCAUCAGGGACAGGUUAAACUGUCGCUGUGGGAAGGGGGGUCUGGUCUCCGGGGCCUGCACCAGUGCAGGCUGCUCUGCCAUCGCACCUCCUCCAAACCCACUUUUGCCUGCUGAGUCGAAAGAGAAGAGGGAAAGCCACAAGCCUGGUAAAACCGAAGGGCUGGGUCUGCCACUGCUGCCCUCGGCUGGCUGGCAUGCGUGGUGUGAUGGGGCUCCCAUGUGCCCUCUCUGUGCCCUCCCUAUGCCUUCCUCUGUGCACCGUCCUGCCUGUUCUCACCUCUGCUCUGCUCACGACUCGCUAUAGAAACCAAGCAAAAAGAAGACAAUAAACACGUCAGGGCUGCACUAGAGAGAAACUAGUUGUUCAUCUCCUCUGGCUUGUUUCGUGCUGUUUAGUCCUGAUGCAAUCAGUAUUAAGCCAGGUAUUUUCCAUGGGUAUGAAGGACUUUAUUGCUGGCAGUGUCAAAGCCCUCCCCAGGGGAAUAAAAUUGUGUGGCAA